ensembl:lncRNA
AGGCCAUUCUGGAAAGCAGCAUCUUCACCUGGAAAAGAGCACAUGCUGGCUGAGGAAGCCCUCCAUCUGCUGCUGGCUCCUGCUCCUGCUGCCUGAGCUGUUCUCUCAGCGUGUCAGUGAAGCGGUUGCUUGUUUCUGGGCAGAAGCUUUUUGAAACUUCAGUGCUGCAGAACAACUCAAGGUUUUGAGCUUUGGUUCCAACUCCGGGUAGCAGCAACUAUGACACAUCAGCACUCCCUUCAAGAGAUGUAGGACUCCAUUUCCAUCCAGAUGCAGCUUCCAUACUGUCAGUGUGGAGAAGUCCCUCUUGUCCUGCGUGUCUUAAAAUGGUGGAAAUAAGGAGCGCUGCUGUUCUGGCAGGUGGGAUUUGGAAAGCCCCGAUAGAAGGAGGCAGAAAGGGGACUGCUGUCCCUGGGGCUGCUCGCUGUGCUGCGGGUCCCGCAGGGCAGGACGUGAUGCCUUUGAGAGCCCAGGUGCUCCGUAGGCUUUCACGUCUUCCUGCUGAACCAACGAGGCUCAGAAUUAUUUUGAUUUAGAUAAUCUCAAACUUGAAAACAGCUCGACUUACACAGUCAAUAAAACAGAACUGUCUCUUCAGCAGCGCACUGACAAGGCUUUGAAGAAAGACGCACAGAGAAGCUCUCCACUAAUAUUAAACUGAUUUGGCCAUUUUUAUUCUAUAAAGGAGGCUGGUUAUGAGAUUUAAAAAGACUCAUAUAUCAUGCUGCCUCAUUAAUUUUCCAUUUGGGCUCAGCUGUCAGAGGAUACCAUAUUAAACUGCUGCCUGGAGUAGUCUUAGGUGGCAGAGAAAUGAUGUUUGAUACCCUUUGCAUUUCACACAGUCUGUAUAAAAGUUCUCCUUGAUUUGCCAUCCCUAUUAUUUUCUGUCAGAGAACCCUACACGGCCUCUCCAAAAUAAUAUCACCUCU